rnacentral:rRNA from 1 species
GUUGAACGCUGGCGGCGUGCCUAAUACAUGCAAGUCGAGCGAACGGACGAGAAGCUUGCUUCUCUGAUGUUAGCGGCGGACGGGUGAGUAACACGUGGAUAACCUACCUAUAAGACUGGGAUAACUUCGGGAAACCGGAGCUAAUACCGGAUAAUAUUUUGAACCGCAUGGUUCAAAAGUGAAAGACGGUCUUGCUGUCACUUAUAGAUGGAUCCGCGCUGCAUUAGCUAGUUGGUAAGGUAACGGCUUACCAAGGCAACGAUGCAUAGCCGACCUGAGAGGGUGAUCGGCCACACUGGAACUGAGACACGGUCCAGACUCCUACGGGAGGCAGCAGUAGGGAAUCUUCCGCAAUGGGCGAAAGCCUGACGGAGCAACGCCGCGUGAGUGAUGAAGGUCUUCGGAUCGUAAAACUCUGUUAUUAGGGAAGAACAUAUGUGUAAGUAACUGUGCACAUCUUGACGGUACCUAAUCAGAAAGCCACGGCUAACUACGUGCCAGCAGCCGCGGUAAUACGUAGGUGGCAAGCGUUAUCCGGAAUUAUUGGGCGUAAAGCGCGCGUAGGCGGUUUUUUAAGUCUGAUGUGAAAGCCCACGGCUCAACCGUGGAGGGUCAUUGGAAACUGGAAAACUUGAGUGCAGAAGAGGAAAGUGGAAUUCCAUGUGUAGCGGUGAAAUGCGCAGAGAUAUGGAGGAACACCAGUGGCGAAGGCGACUUUCUGGUCUGUAACUGACGCUGAUGUGCGAAAGCGUGGGGAUCAAACAGGAUUAGAUACCCUGGUAGUCCACGCCGUAAACGAUGAGUGCUAAGUGUUAGGGGGUUUCCGCCCCUUAGUGCUGCAGCUAACGCAUUAAGCACUCCGCCUGGGGAGUACGACCGCAAGGUUGAAACUCAAAGGAAUUGACGGGGACCCGCACAAGCGGUGGAGCAUGUGGUUUAAUUCGAAGCAACGCGAAGAACCUUACCAAAUCUUGACAUCCUUUGACAACUCUAGAGAUAGAGCCUUCCCCUUCGGGGGACAAAGUGACAGGUGGUGCAUGGUUGUCGUCAGCUCGUGUCGUGAGAUGUUGGGUUAAGUCCCGCAACGAGCGCAACCCUUAAGCUUAGUUGCCAUCAUUAAGUUGGGCACUCUAAGUUGACUGCCGGUGACAAACCGGAGGAAGGUGGGGAUGACGUCAAAUCAUCAUGCCCCUUAUGAUUUGGGCUACACACGUGCUACAAUGGACAAUACAAAGGGCAGCGAAACCGCGAGGUCAAGCAAAUCCCAUAAAGUUGUUCUCAGUUCGGAUUGUAGUCUGCAACUCGACUACAUGAAGCUGGAAUCGCUAGUAAUCGUAGAUCAGCAUGCUACGGCAAAUGCGUUCCCGGGUC